rnacentral:tRNA from 1 species
GCCUUCUUAGCUCAGCCGGUCAGAGCGGUUGUUUCGUAAACAACAGGUCAGGGGUUCAAAUCCCCUAGAAGGCU